rnacentral:rRNA from 1 species
UACGAAGGGGGCUAGCGUUGCUCGGAAUCACUGGGCGUAAAGCGCACGUAGGCGGAUUGUUAAGUCAGGGGUGGAAUCCUGGAGCUCAACUCCAGAACUGCCUUUGAUACUGGCGAUCUUGAGUCCGGGAGAGGUGAGUGGAACUGCGAGUGUAGAGGUGAAAUUCGUAGAUAUUCGCAAGAACACCAGUGGCGAAGGCGGCUCACUGGCCCGGUACUGACGCUGAGGUGCGAAAGCGUGGGGAGCAAACAGG